CCCUUAGAUGUUCUGGGCCGCACGCGCGCUACACUGACGAAUGCAACGAGCUUAUAACCUUGGCCGAAAGGUCUGGGUAAUCUCCAAAUUUCGUCGUGAUGGGGAUAGAUUAUCGCAAUUAUUAAUCUUCAACGAGGAAUGCCUAGUAAGCGCAAGUCAUCAGCUUGCGUUGAUUACGUCCCUGCCCUUUGUACACACCGCCCGUCGCUCCUACCGAUUGAAUGGUCCGGUGAAGCGUUCGGACCGUGGCCUUUGGACGGUUCGCCGUCUGUUGGCUGCGGGAAGUUCGUUAAACCUUAUCAUUUAGAGGAAGGAGAANUCGUAACA
rnacentral:rRNA from 1 species